GAAUCUGGCUUCAGGUUCGGGACAACAGUUGGAAACGGCUGCUAAUACCGGAUGUGCCUUAGGGUGAAAGAUUUAUCACCUGAAGAUGAGCUCGCGUCUGAUUAGCUAGUAGGUGUGGUAAGAGCGCACCUAGGCGACGAUCAGUAGCUGGUUUGAGAGGAUGAUCAGCCACACUGGGACUGAGACACGGCCCAGACUCCUACGGGAGGCAGCAGUGGGGAAUUUUCCGCAAUGGGCGAAAGCCUGACGGAGCAAUACCGCGUGAGGGAGGAAGGCUCUUGGGUUGUAAACCUCUUUUCUCAGGGAAGAAUGAUGACGGUACCUGAGGAAUAAGCAUCGGCUAACUCCGUGCCAGCAGCCGCGGUAAUACGGAGGAUGCAAGCGUUAUCCGGAAUGAUUGGGCGUAAAGCGUCCGCAGGUGGCAAUGUAAGUCUGCUGUCAAAGCGUCUGGCUCAACCAGAUAAAGGCAGUGGAAACUACAUAGCUAGAGUAAGGUAGGGGUAGAGGGAAUUCCUGGUGUAGCGGUGAAAUGCGUAGAGAUCAGGAAGAACACCGGUGGCGAAAGCGCUCUGCUGGACCUUAACUGACACUGAGGGACGAAAGCUAGGGGAGCG
rnacentral:rRNA from 1 species